UACGGGAGGCAGCAGUGGGGAAUUUUCCGCAAUGGGCGAAAGCCUGACGGAGCAAUACCGCGUGAGGGAUGACGGCCUAUGGGUUGUAAACCUCUUUUUUCAGGGAGGAAAAAAAUGACGUUACCUGAAGAAUAAGCAUCGGCUAACUCCGUGCCAGCAGCCGCGGUAAGACGGAGGAUGCAAGUGUUAUCCGGAAUCACUGGGCGUAAAGCGUCUGUAGGUGGUUUAAUAAGUCAACUGUUAAAUCUUGAGGCUCAACCUCAAAACCGCAGUCGAAACUAUUAGACUAGAGUAUAGUAGGGGUAAAGGGAAUUUCCAGUGGAGCGGUGAAAUGCGUAGAUAUUGGAAAGAACACCGAUGGCGAAGGCACUUUACUGGGCUAUUACUAACACUGAGAGACGAAAGCUAGGGUAGCAAAUGGGAUUAGAUACCCCAGUAGUCCUAGCUGUAAACAAUGGAUACUAGAUGUUGAACAGAUCGACCUGUGCAGUAUCAAAAGCUAAACGCGUUNAGUAUACCGCC
rnacentral:rRNA from 1 species